GAUGAACGCUGGCGGCGUGCCUAAUACAUGCGAGUCGAGCGAACGGACGAGAAGCUUGCUUCUUUGAUGUUAGCGGCGGACGGGUGAGUAACACGUGGAUAACCUACCUAUAAGACUGGGAUAACUUCGGGAAACCGGAGCUAAUACCGGAUAAUAUUUUGAACCGCAUGGUUCAAAAGUGAAAGACGGUCUUGCUGUCACUUAUAGAUGGAUCCGCGCUGCAUUAGCUAGUUGGUAAGGUAACGGCUUACCAAGGCAACGAUGCAUAGCCGACCUGAGAGGGUGAUCGGCCACACUGGAACUGAGACACGGUCCAGACUCCUACGGGAGGCAGCAGUAGGGAAUCUUCCGCAAUGGGCGAAAGCCUGACGGAGCAACGCCGCGUGAGUGAUGAAGGUCUUCGGAUCGUAAAACUCUGUUAUUAGGGAAGAACAUAUGUGUAAGUAACUGUGCACAUCUUGACGGUACCUAAUCAGAAAGCCACGGCUAACUACGUG
rnacentral:rRNA from 1 species